UACGGAGGGUGCAAGCGUUAUCCGGAUUUACUGGGUUUAAAGGGUGUGUAGGCGGGCCUAUAAGUCAGUGGUGAAAUCUCCGAGCUUAACUUGGAAACUGCCAUUGAUACUAUUGGUCUUGAAUUCUAUUGAGGUUGGCGGAAUAAGUCAUGUAGCGGUGAAAUGCUUAGAUAUGACUUAGAACACCGAUUGCGAAGGCAGCUAACUAAACAGAUAUUGACGCUGAGGCACGAAAGCGUGGGGAUCAAACAGG
rnacentral:rRNA from 1 species